rnacentral:rRNA from 1 species
UACGAAGGGGGCUAGCGUUGCUCGGAAUCACUGGGCGUAAAGGGUGCGUAGGCGGGUCUUUUAAGUCAGGGGUGAAAUCCUGGAGCUCAACUCCAGAACUGCCUUUGAUACUGAAGAUCUUGAGUUCGGGAGAGGUGAGUGGAACUGCGAGUGUAGAGGUGAAAUUCGUAGAUAUUCGCAAGAACACCAGUGGCGAAGGCGGACUCACUGGCCCGAUA